UGAAUUUUAAAUCAUUUUUUUUCUCUCGUCGGCAGCCAUCUGCGUUGCUGGAGAAGAAGAGUAUUCUGGAGAUGAAUCUGAAUCUGAGGUAUCUGGAGACUCUGUAACUGAAGAUGAAUCUGAAUCAGUUGAAGCUAGAGAAGAGUUUGAAGCAUGUCAAGUUGUAGACGAUGUCCCGCCCGAUCAUAUUUGUCCGGCCUGUUUACGAGAUCAUGAAUCUCCUCGAUGCCCCGUCUGUAACAUACCUUUCCUAUCGAACAAGGAUAUGCGCCAGCACUUCCAGGAGAAGCACAACAAGGCUGAAUGGAUUGCAGAUUUGGUAUCAAAAGCCGGCGAACUUUUAUCCCAACAGCCGCCAGAAGUCCUUGCAUCUUUAUCAGAAUGGAUGUCAAAAAAUUUCGGCAACUAACAGCGAGUGGAAGUUUCAGAAGUAUGGUAACUAGAAGUCUUUGCUGAUGCUCACUAGAAGUCUUUGCUGGGAUCGAAAUACGGUAUUCUCGGUAUUUGUUUACGUUUGACAGAUUGGAAUUGAUUCACUGCUUUAGGUUUAAUUGUAGCAAAUUGAAGAACGUCGUAUUGUGAUGAUUUCUGACGUCUAUAUUGCUAAUUGCCUGUGUUAGCAAAUUGCAAAUUUGUGAUGAUUUCUGACGUCUAUAUUGCUAAUUGCUUUGUGUUAGCAAAUUGCAAAUUGAAGAACUGCGUAUUGUGAUGGUUUAUGAGAUCUAUAUUGCUAAUUGCUAA